GGAGGUGUGCCCGAGCGGCCGAAGGGAACGGUCUUGAAAACCGUCGUGGCAGCGAUGUCACCGUGGGUUCAAAUCCCACCGCCUCCG
rnacentral:tRNA from 18 species